CCAGGGGAAACCGAAAACCUGAAAAAGAGUAGGUC
rfam:Sphingobacteriales bacterium 50-39 SCNpilot_cont_1000_p_scaffold_150, whole genome shotgun sequence.